rnacentral:rRNA from 1 species
CAAUAGCGUAUAUUAAAGUUGUUGCAGUUAAAACGCUCGUAGUCGGAUUUCGGGGCGGGCCGACCGGUCUGCCGAUGGGUAUGCACUGGCCGGCGCGUCCUUCCACCCGGAGACCGCGCCUACUCUUAACUGAGCGGGCGCGGGAGACGGGCCUUUUACUUUGAAAAAUCAGAGUGUUUCAAGCAGGCAGUCGCUCUUGCAUGGAUUAGCAUGGGAUAAUGAAAUAGGACUCUGGUGCUAUUUUGUUGGUUUCGAACACCGAAGUAAUGAUGAGAAGGGACAGUCAGGGGCACUCGUAUUCCGCAGAGAGAGGUGAAAUUCUCAGACCCGCGGAAGACGAACCACUGCGAAAGCAUUUGCCAGGGAUGUUUUCACUGAUCAAGAACGAAAGUUAGGGGAUCGAAGACGAUCAGAUACCAU